UUUUCAACUUCACCGUCAGUUUCUCCCUUGUGUAAUUUUUCUUGCUCUAAACCGUGGCUUUCACCAUACCAACCAAACCUCAAGCUCUUAUCUCCAUCUCCUCCCAUGUUUCUUCCUUUUUGUCUUUCUUUCACAUGAAAUUCUUCUCUUUUCCUUCCCCAUAGCUGAAUUUAAGGAGGAUUGGUGAUUUGGCUCAAGAUUUCCAAGGUAAGGAAAUGGAGCUUGUUAGUUUGAUUGAAAGUAUGUUUGAAAAUUGAUUUUAAGGUGUGGUUAUAUUUGUGGCAGCAAAGAAAAUCUUAGGUGUGAAGAGGUGGUGAACUGUAGUUAGGAAAUUCAAACAUAAUUCAAGGGAUACGCACUUGAAUUGAUAGCAAAGUAGGAUCCUGCUAUUAUAAGAAAAGUAAUUAGUUUUAGGAUUUUGUUCAGCAUCGCGAGGUUGGCGACACCUUAGGUACCGACAUCUCCAGACUUCCACUUUGGGUCACUCCAUUGCCUAGAGGUCGGUUUGUGUAUCAUAUAGUCUAGUUGGUAAGAAUCAAUAGUCACUAGGAAUGUAAUGGCUAAAGCUUAGGAUGAGUUGUAUGAAGUUAUCAAAUGGCUAUAUGUUAAUUAUUGUGAAUAUUUGGUUUGAAUGAUUUAUAGUGUUAA